rnacentral:tRNA from 1 species
GCCCCAGUGGUGGAAUUGGUAGACGCGCUGGAUUCAAAAUCCUGUUCCGAGAGGAGUGCCGGUUCGACUCCGGCCUGGGGCACCA